GACGGGGGAUGCGAGCGUUAUCCGGAAUGAUUGGGCGUAAAGGGUCCGCAGGUGGCCCGGUCAGUCCGCUGUCAAAGCCUGGGGCUCAACCCUGGAGAGGCGGCGGAGACCACCGGGCUUGAGUCCGGUAGGGGCAGAGGGAAUUCCCGGUGGAGCGGUGAAAUGCGUAGAUAUCGGGAGGAACACCAGUGGCGAAGGCGGCUGCCUGGACCCGGCCUGACGCUGAGGCGCGAAAGCGUGGGGAGCGAUCCGG
rnacentral:rRNA from 1 species